GGCUGGUCCAAAGGUAGUGAGUUAUCUCACUUGAUUGUUCAUAGUCAGUUACAGAUUGAACUCCUUGUACUACUACUUUCCCUCCUCCUCACUACUGCACUUGACUAGUCUUAA
rnacentral:Y_RNA from 1 species